GUUAGGGCUGUGUCCCAGGCAAUGCAUCAGCCCUUGGGGUGAGCACAGGGAUCAUGAAUAUGGGCUCGAAAUCCCUGGAGUUCACUCACAGAGCCUCGCCUGGAUCAGCCAGCUGUAAGAGGAAGAGUCACCUUGAUGUCUUGAAGUGGUUUUCUAUUCUCAUUUCCUUUGGCAUGUGUGACCCUAAGGUGGGGAGGAGAAGAGGAUUUUUCAGAAGAGAGUUGAGAGAGUGGUGUGAGUUGAUGGCCUUUUGAGUUCCUCCAAAGAGCCAGACAGAACAGCUGCUUCUCGAUUAAAAACUGCUACAGCCCACAGCAUCUGUACCUCUGCAUAGGAGCUGCAAGGCUGGGAUGGCCUAAGGAGCCAGCCCUGGCCUCAAGGGAAGGGUAGAACAUGGUGCUCACAUCAACAGAGGGAGCAGGAUGAGGCCCUCAGCAUCACCACCUAAAUUUGUUUUAACACACCUUUGCUUAUCCCAUUCUUGAAAGCUCAGUGUUGCUGGCUUCCACCCUCUUGUGCCUUUUUUUUUUCAACUCUUUCUCUACUUUCAUCACUGGUCUUUGGAUUAGAUUGUUCACUUUCCACAAUUCCGUGGGUGUCUGUCUCCCAUCUCCACACAGCAGCGCUGGAUCAGCCCCGCUUUAGACCCUCAGCUGGUACAAACCUGGAUUGGUGUUAGCAGUCACUGACCUGACCCAGUCACCUGUC